rnacentral:rRNA from 1 species
GUGGGGAAUCUUGCGCAAUGGGCGAAAGCCUGACGCAGCCAUGCCGCGUGAAUGAUGAAGGUCUUAGGAUUGUAAAAUUCUUUCACCGGGGACGAUAAUGACGGUACCCGGAGAAGAAGCUCCGGCUAACUUCGUGCCAGCAGCCGCGGUAAUACGAAGGGGGCUAGCGUUGCUCGGAAUUACUGGGCGUAAAGGGCGCGUAGGCGGACAGCUUAGUCAGAGGUGAAAGCCCAGGGCUCAACCUUGGAAUUGCCUUUGAUACUGGCUGUCUUGAGUUUGGGAGAGGUGAGUGGAACUCCGAGUGUAGAGGUGAAAUUCGUAGAUAUUCGGAAGAACACCAGUGGCGAAGGCGACUCGCUGGCCCAAUACUGACGCUGAGGCGCGAAAGCGUGGGGAGCAAACAGGAUUAGAAACCCUAGUAGUCC